rnacentral:rRNA from 1 species
UACGUAGGUGGCAAGCGUUGUCCGGAAUUACUGGGUGUAAAGCGCGUGUAGGCGGGAGGCCAAGUCUGCUGUGAAAUCGCUCGGCUCAACUGGGCGGGGUCGGUGGAAACUGGUCACCUGGAGGACGGUAGAGGCGAGUGGAAUUCCCGGUGUAGUGGUGAAAUGCGUAGAGAUCGGGAGGAACACCAGUGGCGAAGGCGGCUCGCUGGGCCGGUCCUGACGCUGAGGCGCGAAAGCGUGGGGAGCAAACAGG